GAUCCACAGGGAGCCGCAGUCACACCACUGGGUGUAAACACUGCACACCACUUCCCCAGCUACCUACUGGGAACAGGGCAGUCCCCACUGGCUGUGCCCAGAUGCCAGGAUCUUGCAGCUCUUAAAAGUGCAAGCACAGAGGCAGAGGCAGCAGGCUGUAUUUGCCACAGGAAUGAGAAGAGAUCACGAAACUGCACCGAUACCGGGUCCCACAGAUCAAAGAGGGAAGGAGAGCAUCUGGCUGGACUGCUGCAUAGCCCAGGCUGGCUUUGACUUGCUGUGGAUCCAAGGAGAACCUUGAGCUUCCAAUCCUCUUGUCUCCACCUCCCAAGUACCGGGGUCACAGGCUUGUACCACCAUGUUCAUUUUGCAAUUCUGGGGAGGGAACCUGGGUUGCAUGUGUGCUAGAUAAGCAUUCUAUAUAUCCCUAUAGGUCUUGCGGUUUUCCGACUUUUCUUGUUGACUGCUAGAUCAUUCUGGAGCAUGGGUGACCCUGCUGAUGUCACGUUACAUGCACCUGAUUGGCUCCUCUGAUUAAAUAUUUGGCAAUGGUUUUGAAUUGGCCAAAGGCGAAGACAGCAGCCUUGUUCUAGUCACGAGGAGUCAAAAGAGUUGUCUGUGAAGUCAGAGACGCUGGGCUCCAUCCUGGCUCUGGUUUUGCUAGAGACGCCUACUUCUCUGAGUCUCCAUGUCCUCAAUCGGAAGGCAGGGAGAGCAAGGCCUGCUGCCCACUGUGGCGAGUUUCUGGCUGGCACCCCGUAGGUCCUCAGUAGAGGGUAGAGUCCCCUCCCUUCUGUUCAGCCCCUUCUGACUCACUGAGUGGCCUGCCAUUCCCAACACCUAGCCCUGUCAACCCCAGGCUAGCCAGGCUUGCCUGCUCCCAGCAGGUUGGCAGGCCCAGGGAAGCCCAGCCAUUCACACUCUUCCCAGCCUUCUUGACAGUUCUGAUGCCUGACUGCACUUCAGAGCCACAGCUUCCAGGGUGAGACGUUCAUCUCAGGCCUCAGCUGUGACAAACUCUAAAAGAGUGACAGUGGCCUGACCGAGCCACUCUGGGGACAUUGGCGAGGCCCUAGGAUGAUAACUCCUUGCCCUGGCCCUGGGAAGGAAAUCUGCUGGAAGAGGCAUCUGCCUCCAGGCCUGGAGUUUCAGCAUAGGCCUCCCAUCUCCCUGGUCCCUGUCCUUGAGGGUCUUGCUAUGUGUGAGUCAUCAGAGGGGACAGUGGUUGUUGGGGGACGAGGACCCAGGCACUUUGCAAAGGAGGGGGUCUGCAGACCUUAGGCUCCUGGCUGUCUGACCGACAUCUUCCCACGUCUACUCCCAGCUGACAAGUCGUGACCUGCUCAAGUUCAUUGCCCAGGGAGUUCCAGGAAGCUGGGCCAUCGAACUGUUUGCUCUCUGGCCCACACAACUGCUGCCUAUUGGUCCCCUUCUUGUUUUGGUCCUAUGUGUGGUAGUUAAUAAAGUCUGUUGUUUGUUGCCUUUA